GCUGGGCAUGGUGGCACAUGCCUGUAAUCCCAGCUACUCAGGAGGCUGAGGCAGGAGAAUUGCCUGAACCCAGGAGGCGGGGGUUGCGGUGAGCCGAGAUUGCGCCAUUGCACUCCAGCCUGGGUAACAAGGCGAAACUCCGUCUCAA
ensembl:misc_RNA Metazoa_SRP Metazoan signal recognition particle RNA